CAGUGCUGCAUGGCUGUCGUCAGCUCGUGUCGUGAGAUGUUCGGUUAAGUCCGCUAACGAGCGCAACCCUCGCUGUGUGUUACAAGUGUCACACGGAACUGCCGGUCAUAAACCGGAGGAAGGUGGGGAUGACGUCAAGUCAGCAUGGCCUUUAUAUCCUGGGCUACACACACGCUACAAUGGGAAGGGACAAUAGGUUGCGAAGCCGCGAGGCGGAGCCAAUCCAGCAAAACUUCCCUCAGUUCAGAUUGCAGGCUGCAACUCGCCUGCAUGAAGUUGGAGUUGCUAGUAAACGCAGGUCAGCCAUACUGCGUUGAAUACGUUCCCGGGGCUU
rnacentral:rRNA from 1 species